rnacentral:rRNA from 2 species
GUCUACGGCCAUACCACCCUGAACGCGCCCGAUCUCGUCUGAUCUCGGAAGCUAAGCAGGGUCGGGCCUGGUUAGUACUUGGAUGGGAGAAUCGCAGGAGAGGGUCAUUAAUAGUUGAGAACU